UACGGGAGGCAGCAGUGAGGAAUAUUGGUCAAUGGGCGAGAGCCUGGACCAGCCAAGUAGCGUGCAGGAUGACGGCCCUAUGGGUUGUAAACUGCUUUUAUGCGGGGAUAAAGUGAGGGACGUGUCCCUUAUUGUAGGUACCGCAUGAAUAAGGACCGGCUAAUUCCGUGCCAGCAGCCGCGAAGGG
rnacentral:rRNA from 1 species